rnacentral:rRNA from 1 species
AUGUCUAGUGCGUCAACUAUCGCAUUCAACCGCAAGACAGCGACACUCUACCUCCCCGCGGUGACCCUCGACGGCAACACAGAGGUGGUGCUCCAGAACCUGAUCGCCUUCGAGUCAUCCGCCGCGUCAGGCCCGCUGGUGCUCACCCGGUACACGGAGCUCAUGAACGGCAUCGUUGACACGGACGACGACGUUGCACUGCUCCGCAAGCGGGGCAUCGUGCUCAACCACAUGAAGAAAAGGGACAGCGAAGGGGCCAACCCGUGCAACGGCAUGAGCCGGUCGGUGCAGCACUCCAAGGUGCCGACCAUGGACAAGGUUAUCGAGGACGUGAACCGCUACUACGAUGGUCGGUGGCGCGUCAAGACGAAGCGGUUCAUGCACAAGUACGUGCUCAGCUCAUGGAAGAUUCUCACCUUCCUCGCCGCCAUCAGCAUACUGCUGCUCACCACGUUGCAGGUCUUCAGCUCCAUUUACACAUGCUUCUGA